GGCUUUGAAGCGUGGACGCCAGUCUGCGUGGAGCCAACCUUGAAAUACCACCCUUUAAUGUUUGAUGUUCUAACGUUGGCCCCUUACCGGGGUUGCGGACAGUGUCUGGGGGGUAGUUUGACUGGGGCGGUCUCCUCCCAAAGCGUAACGGAGGAGCACGAAGGUUAGCUAAUCCUGGUCGGACAUCAGGAGGUUAGUGCAAUGGCAUAAGCUAGCUUGACUGCGAGCGUGACGGCGCGAGCAGGUGCGAAAGCAGGUCAUAGUGAUCCGGUGGUUCUGAAUGGAAGGGCCAUCGCUCAACGGAUAAAAGGUACUCCGGGGAUAACAGGCUGAUACCGCCCAAGAGUUCAUAUCGACGGCGGUGUUUGGCACCUCGAUGUCGGCUCAUCACAUCCUGGGGCUGAAGUAGGUCCCAAGGGUAUGGCUGUUCGCCAUUUAAAGUGG
rnacentral:rRNA from 1 species